GGCCUGGUGGUGAAACCGGUAUACACGUCAGACUUAAAAUCUGAUGGCUGAAUAAGCCGUGUGGGUUCGAAUCCCACCCAGGCCA
rnacentral:tRNA from 3 species